AUCGGUAAGCCACAGCACGAUCCCGCAUACGAACUCUGGGCGUUUCGUAUUUGUCUUGAACGCAGCACGAUUCAUACAAGUCUUGACGUUCAGACGCAACAUUCUCGCCCUGAAGCUGUUUUCUGUCCUAAAUGUCGCCGGCGAGGUUCAACCUGUUCCCGUAGAAGAGAAGAGUGAAGCUCAGUUCACCGUCCACAGGAUUAUUUCAGGGGCUGACAUGCCACUCGGCUCCGGAGCGAGUGAGCCCGGAUCGAGGGUGUCGGACCCGCAGCACUCCCAGAAACUGCUCCGGGUCCUUCGCACCUUCUGGCAGGAGCAGAGUUUCCACGAUGCACUGCUGGUGGUCGACGGAGAGGAGCUUCCUGUCCAGAAGAACAUCCUGGCCGCUGCGAGUCCGUAUGUCAGGACGAAGCUGAACUACAAUCCUCCGAAGGAAGAUGGGUCUAUGUACAGAAUCGAGCUGCAGGGAGUCUCCAUGGCGAUCAUGAAGCAGAUCCUCGAAUACAUCUUCAGCGGCGAAAUCACUCUGAGUGAAGACACCAUCCAGGACAUGGUGCAGGCGUCCGACCUGCUGCUCAUGACCGACCUCAAGUCGCUGUGCUGUCAGUUCCUGGAGAGCUGCAUCACGGCAGAGAACUGCAUCGGCAUCCGCCUCUUCUCGCUGCACUACUGCCUCUACCACGUCCACCACGCCGCCACCGAGUUCCUGCAGACGCACUUCCGUGAGGUGUCCCUCGUGGAGGAGUUCCGCGAGCUGCCGCCGGAGCGGCUCCGCGAGGUGCUCACCAUGGAGAAGCUGAACGUGGGGAACGAGAAGCAGGUGCUGGAGUCCGUGGUACGCUGGUUCGCACACGACCCGGAGGAUCGCAGGGUUCACAUGAGGGAAGUGAUGUCGGCCGUGUGGCUGCAGGGCCUGGACCUGAGCUACCUGAGAGAGCAGGCCAUGGGGGAGCCCCUGAUGAGGGAGGUGAUCAGAGAGCACUGUCAGCCCGUGCUGGGGGAGGGUCAGCUGCAGGGCGAGGCGAUGCUCGCCGCCUUCAAACCCCGAGGCUACUCCGAGUGCAUCGUCAUCGCAGGCGGAGAGGAUCGCAAGAGCAGGAAGCCGACGGCCGCGACGCGCUGCAUGUGUCCGCUGUAUGACACCAACAGACAGGCCUGGAUCGAGCUGCAGCCGAUGGGCGUCGCCCGCCUCGGCCACGGGGUCGUGGCUGCAGAGGGUUUCCUGUUCGUGAUGGGAGGAACGGACGAACACAACACAGUCCUGGACAGUGGAGAGAAAUACGACCCUGACUCCAACAGCUGGAGCCUCAUUCCUCCGAUGCUUCAGGCUCGUCAGAACUUCGGCGUGGUGGAGCUGGACGGUCUGAUCUACGUCCUCGGAGGAGAGAACGACGUGACGGAGCUGAUCACCAUGGAAGCGUUCGACCCUCACUUCAACACCUGGAAGAUGCAGACGAGCAUGACCAUGAUCCGCAAGGUCGGCUCCUACGCCUCCAUGAAUAAGAAGAUCUACGCGAUGGGCGGAGGCUCCUACGGGAAACUGUUCGACUCCGUCGAAUGCUUCGAUCCCAAAACGCAGCAGUGGACCGGCCUCUGUCCUCUGAAAGAGAGAAGGUUCGGUUCGGUGGCAUGCGGCGUCGGCCAGGAGCUCUACGUGUUCGGCGGCGUCAGAAGCCAAGAGCCCGACAACCCCGAUCAAAGGCAGAUGACGACCUGCAACUCCGAGUUCUACCAUGACGAGAUGAGGAGGUGGAUGUUGCUCGACGACCAAACUCUGUGUAGCCAGACGAGCUCGUCCUUCGUCUACGGCGCCGUGCCCAUCGGAGCCAGCAUCUACCUGGUGGGAGACCUGGACACGGGUACGAGCUUCGACUACAUCCGGGAGUUCCGCCGCAGCACCGGGACGUGGCACCGCACCAAGCCCAUGUUGUCCACCGACCUCUCCAAGACGGUGUGCGCCGCCCUGCGCAUCGCCAACUGUCGCCUGUUCCGCCUGCAGCUGAGCCAGGGCAUGUUCCGGAUCCGGGUCUGACGUCCGGGACGCCAGCGAGCGAGCGACGACUCUGACGCGUCUCCGUACUCACUUCACUUUUGCACACUGGUUGUAUUUUACAUCUGGAAAACCUCCCGCGGCGCCUUGAGACUCCUAGUUGGGGAACUACUGGUCCAGGAUCAAGAUCAAACCCUGUCCCUCUCUCUCUGAACGAGUGAAAACAAACCACACGUCUGCUCUCAGCUCCUCGUUCCUCGGGCCGCUCGCGAACAAUGGACGGUUAUUAUUAUUAAUGGCCGCCGUCCAAGACAAACCUGGAGUAGUAAGACGAGGCCGCCAGUAGCAGCGCCGCCGCCACCGCAGACACGCUGGCGUUGUGGACACACGCACACGCGAGCGCGCCGCAGUAGUUCUUAACCAAGGAUUUAUAAUUUCAACCACGACAAUGAAAUGUCCUUAAACUUUAACAAAGAAAUACUUUCAUGCCAAAACCAGGAGCGUCAUCUUCCCCUCGACAAACCUCAAAGUAUCAUAUUAGAAAAGUGUUUUUUGGAAAGUGCAGAUCAGAAAAACUACUUUGCGUGUUGCUCUGGAGGGCAACUAGGAUUUAAGGACUUUAUAUUGUUCGGUUGCCAAUGUCGAUGCACAAAGUUUCACCACAUUUCUGGCACAAUACGAUGACGAUUGUAACUAGAAACUCUUUUCUUCUUUCUUUCGGUCGAAGAGAUUGAAAACUGUGGCUUUGCAGCAAAUUAAUCGUGGACAGUGUAGAAACUCAAACAGAAAAGAGCUACAAUAGGAAGUAAAACCACCAAAUAAUCCCAGCAUGCUUUUGUAAAGUGGAAGAUGAACUGAUGAGUGAACGUUCACCGAGCGAAUGUUUUGCACGCCGCAGCAGGAAAGCGAACCCGACCCGAGACCCCGGUCGCCGGUCGUUAUCAUUGUCCGAGCGGCCCGGAGCUCGGCCCCGGUCAGAAAUAGACGUCACCGCAAGUGACACCCUCCGAGUCGCCGCCGCCUCUGCGACCUCUGACCUGGCUUUCCAGUCCAGUACGGUUUUGGCAUCACUUGACCCCCAUUUGUUCUGAGCGGGUUCCAGCUGCUGCUGUCUGUCCUCAGCACACACACACACACACACACACACACACACACACACACACACACACACACACACACACACACACACACACACACACACACACACACACACUUAGCAGAGGACAGAUACAAACACACUCUGUCGUCAUGUUACAAAGGCAACACAUCCCCACCGUCUUUACAUUGUAGAAGUCCCGUGUCUUUGCUAGAAUGGAAAGGUAAUGCAAAAAGAAAAGGAUAUCGAUUUUUAAACAUACUGUAUAUCCACAAAUCCUUGUGUAAAACUGAACCGAUCAGAAACAUGGACACUGGAACAUCAGUGUGAUAACAACAACCUCAACAUGACAGAAACCAUGUUUGCUAACAUUUAUUUAAUGGUGUUACCGACCUCCGAGUCAGCGGGUGCAACUGGAACCAACUGUAGUGCUGUCGUAGUCAUACGUUCGAAAGAAGUUGUCGUUCGAUGUUACUGUGCAAUGACAACUAACCCUAAACGUAACCGAAUAAAAUGCAGCAUUUAAAAGCUUAAAGUGUCAAAUCAAACGUAGUUGCCAGACAACACGCAGUCGCAAGCGGUGGACCAAUGAAUGAGCUCAUUCUUAUCUGGUGGUUGGUACCGUGUUCUCGGUCGCAGACGUACCUCCGACCCCGACUUCCAAAUCUAAGAUGGCCGCUCCGUGUAUCGACAGUCGGUGAAAACUGUCGUUUUUGACUGUUUAUUAGUAGUUCUGUCUAAUUCGUGUCUCCAACUGUCCAAUUACUGUCUGUGGACGUGUUACUAGGGCGUGGGUUAGUCCGCUCUAAGGCUUUUCCCGGAGGCGUCCGUCUUGUUCUUCAGAUGGGCAGACCAACUCAGCUCUGGUUAUUCGGACGUGGCUUCAUUCCGAGCCCCGAGAUCUAAUGUAUAAUGGAACGCAGCAUGUCGUCUACUUUGAUUUUGUUGAUUUUGCACCAUCUGCUAACGUGGAGCGGGCGGGGGUUACGACCCGUACUGCUGCCAGCCACCAGGGGGCGACCCUGAUGAUUUGGCUGUCUGUGGUUAUCUCUGUCACCUCACAGCAAAAUGUUUCUAGGCUCAAACGUGGGUUUUUUCUCCGUCUGAAGAUGAGCGGGUUAACUGGACGUGAGCGCUGGCGGUUGUUCGUCAGCCCUGUGGCUGACUGGCGACCUUCCGUACUGUGAAUAUAUAGGGUAACAUUCCAUAAUGUCUAAUCAUUUACAGUAAAUACAACCGUACGUGUCCCAGAUAUCACAUCAAUGUUCUCAGAUGUUAACACCUCAUGACUGUUCUGUGUUGUGGUACACUGGAAAAACACAAUAAGGGGAAAAUAGUGAAGCUCUUCUUUCAGUUUGUGAGUAAGGAAGUUUUGCAAGACGCCGCCCACGAGUGUCGUUCACUUGCGUCAAAGGGAAUUAAAACACCACAGUGUUCAACACGUCCUGUCCCAUUUGUUUCAUGAUAGGUACUGAUUCUGAGAUUAGACUCUGGUCAAUGACUCAGGCAGGGAAACAUGGUUGUGAUCCUAUGAGGUAAAAGUUCCAAAGUACAUUUCAUUUCAAUUCCAUUUUUAUUUGUAAAGCACCAAAUCACAACAUAACUUAUCUCAAAGGACUUUACAGUACAUAAAGGUGCAUGUUAAAAAGAAGGAAUGUUGUGGAGAAGGUUUUUCUUUCCCGUUCAUUCAAAAAUUAAAAACUUUCAUAGAUUGUAGAUUCAUGACUCGUACAGUGAAAUAUUUUAAUGCUUUUCUUGUUUUGUUUUUUGUGACGAAAAUCCAAAUUCCAUUCUAAGAAACUAUUCACAUAUUUCCUAAGAUCGAUCAAAAGAUCCUCUGAUGUUCCUGGAUUCUGCCGGAGCCUCCUCCAGGGUCGUUUCGUGCUCAGAUUAGCGUUUAUCUUAGAUGUUUGGGUUCCACUGUCCCCAUGGAUCCCACAUUGUCUCGCUCGAGUCGCUCGUGUUGUGGCAGUCCAACAAUUAUUCCAUGUCCUCCGCCCUUCGUCCCAUGAGUUCCACUAGCCCACUUCUCGUCAGGUCUCCCUCAGUUCCCCCCAACACCUGACGCGGACCUUGUUGCCCCGGGCGAUGAUGCAGAUGCUCGGCUCCUUGUUGAAGUCCAGGUCGCUUUGAUGGCGGCCUCCAGCUCGUCUGUAUCGUUGGGUCGGGUGUUUGUCAUCUCCCUUUCUUCUGGACAGAGAUCCUCCCUGAUGCUGUUCCUGGAAUCUGCCGGAGCCUCCUGGGGGGGAGGUAACACACACACACACACACACACACACAGUAUCUGGCUCACAUUCGCUGCUCUCCAGUGGAAACGUUCUGAGGGUUCCACCGAUGAGAUGUUCCACCGACAGUCGUGUGUUGCCGGGCGGAGUGGACGCCACAGAACUGAAGUGUCCGUCCAUGUGUCACGGUCUUCGGCUCAUGAUUGCAUUUGCUCAUCGUGGUCUAAAAAAACCAAAACAAACUUAUAUAAAACAUUUUCAAGAAGAAAAUAACACAAUCAUCUUCUUUUGUCUGCUCUGCUACGACCAGGAACCUUGAACUUGUCGUUGAACGCUCCGGGGCUUUAAUCAGUUACACACUCCUUUUAAAUCCUCGGCUCGUGAAUCCGUGACUCACUGGAGCAAAAGUAGUUUUGUACAAAAUUGAAUAAAGUAAAACCCUGACAAUGUUAGAGAAUAUACAGAAAGUGUUCGUCCUUUGAACCUUCUUUCCUUUUCUUUGAAAUAAUAUCAAAUUAAGAUCUAUAAUUUAAUUUGUUCAUAUUUUGUACAAAAUCUAGUCAAAGGUCCCUUUGGAAUAAAUUCCUGUUAAAGGUUUGACUUGACUUCUUGACGCAUCUUUGUAUUAUUGAUUAAUAUUGAUCAUCUAUGUCAUAAUGAUUCUCUUUAACCGUGAUGCUUCUGGAUUCCUAGAACAGAUUUAAAGGUUGUCAUUGAUAUUUCAUGAGGUAAUAAUUUCCUUUAUUGCCAAAUCGAAUACAUCCAUCUGGCUCUGUGACACAUUGUCUGACUGUCGUCUGCCGGCGGGUCGGUAGGUUGUCGUGUCGUGACUCGUCUCCGGAACCAAUCGUGGUGAUGAUGGAGCAACUGUGGGUGGAAUGGAAACUUGAGGAUCUCUGUGGGACGUCCUGACGGGACCACGGUGAACCUCAGAGCGGCGACAGACACCGAGCUGGUUGUUGUUGUUGUGGGCCGGGCCCCUGGGGGCCGGGAGCCCCGAGGCCUCCAGCACACUGAUGCUCCGCUCAGCUCCGCCCCCUCGGGCUCGUUCCUCCGGGAGGUCCAGACGCUGAUGUCAUCACGCCGGAUUUGACAGACGAUAACGUCCGCCAUGUGUUCAGUUUGACCUGAAGGUCGCUUUGAGGUUAUGAAUGGUUCAUUUCCCACAUUUCAAAUCCGUCCAUACUUUGGCAAGAGACAAGAUGGCUCACGAAUCCUAAUUGGUCAAAUUUGCCACGUUAUAAGAAAGUUUCAAUGAUUUUGAAGUGGGGUUGUAUGAGUUACUUAUACAUAGUUAAUAAGUUACCUCAUGGAGAUGGAGAUCAGCGAUGUUAUUUAACGGCGUUUGGAGGAGAAGAGUCCCACCGUUGCAGAGGGGACCACCCAAAAACCUCUUUUUGCCACAGUGAAAGAAAUACGUCCUCCAGCGUACAAUUGAACGGAUAGAUGUUUUUUUUUAGGUAACGUUUUAAAAUGUGGCGAAAGAGAAGUUUUUCGGUCGUUCCCUCUGCAACAGUGGGACUCGGACCUGCGCUGCUUCCACCUGUGACAUCGCUGAUCACCAUCUCCAUAAGGUCACAUAAGUAACUCAUACAACCCCACUUCAAAAUCUCUGAACUAUCCCUUUAAAAGGAAGUGGGUUCUUCCUGGAAAAAGGGGUUUGGUAGUUUAUUGUAGCAAUAUAAAACGGGUAGCUCAAAUCCAGCGAUCUCAUUGGCUCAUAGCCGUGACACUACGAUGACAAAUGAGUUUUGUUCACAGGUCCGUAUCCCUCAGCCACUCAGGAAGUAACGGCGUGAGGAAGUAGGCGUGAGUGAAGUUGAGGAAACUUACCAGUUCUCAAAGCCCCAUCGCCCCUUCACUGUGGUAUGAUGAGCGUGUUCCACGGCCUGUCGCGAGAGACUGCUUAAAUAUUGACAUCCAUAAUCCUGAAAUCCUCUCGCUGCGGCCCUGGACCGGUGGACACUGCUUAGAACUCCCUGGUGAGACAGGUAGAGUUCUAAUAAAAAGGUUGGAAAAAGCCA